AGUCUAGCCUGCUCACUGAUAAAAAUUAAAUAGCCGCGGUAUCCUGACCGUGCAAAGGUAGCAUAAUCAUUAGUUUCUUAAUUGGAAACUGGUAUGAAUGGUUGGACAAGGAAAAAGCUGUCUCCUUUAUUAAAAUUGAACUUAACUUUUAAGUGAAAAGGCUUAAAUGAGUCAGGGGGACGAUAAGACCCUAUAAAGCUUUAUAAGUUUAAUAAUUUUAUAGAUUUUUUAUAUAAAUAAAAUGUUAAAACGACUUAUUAGGUUGGGGCGACAAUAGUAUAAAAAUAGUAACUGCUUUUCGAUAAUACAAAUAUAUUUGAAUUAUGAUAAUUAAUUGAUCCUUUAUUAAGAUUUUAAGAUCAAGUUACUUUAGGGAUAACAGCGUUAUUUUUUCUGAGAGUCCUUAUCAAAGAAAAAGUUUGCGACCUCGAUGUUGAAUUAAAAUGUCUUCAUAGUGCAGCAGCUAUAGAAGAAAGUCUGUUCGACUUUUAAUAUUUUACAUGAUUUGAGUUCAGACCGGCGAGAGCCAGGUCGGUUUCUAUCUCUUGAGAUAAUAAAGAUUAUCUUAGUACGAAAGGAUUAGAUAAUCAAAAAUAUUUUAUUUAAUGAUAU
rnacentral:rRNA from 1 species